AGGACGAACGCUGGCGGCGUGCUUAACACAUGCAAGUGGAGCGACGAACCAGGGCUUGCCCUGGGGCAGAGCCGCGAACGGGUGAGUAACACGUGGGUAACGUGCCCCAAUGACUGGGACAACCCGGGGAAACCCGGGCUAAUACCGGAUAUGCCCCCCGCCAUCAGGCGGGUGUGUAAAGGAAGCUUCGGCCUCCGCAUUGGGAUCGGCCCGCGGCGCAUUAGCUUGUUGGUGAGGUAACGGCUCACCAAGGCAACGAUGCGUAGCUGGUCUGAGAGGACGAUCAGCCACACUGGGACUGAGACACGGCCCAGACUCCUACGGGAGGCAGCAGUGAGGAAUUUUCCGCAAUGGGCGAAAGCCUGACGGAGCGACGCCGCGUGUGGGAAGAAGGCCUUCGGGUCGUAAACCACUGUCGAAGGGGAAGAUAUUGACGGUACCCUUGGAGGAAGCCCCGGCUAACUACGUGCCAGCAGCCGC
rnacentral:rRNA from 1 species